AACAUGCAGACAGAGGCAGAGUUGAGUACAUAGUUCAAAACCUGAUCAGGGUUAGGUUUUUACCAGACACGCAGCUUAAAAACUGGGCUACUGCUUCUUUAUACAAUCAAAAAAGUUUGACAAACGGGUUUCUAAGCUAAAACCUAAAUUGGGUUUCUCUUUUAGAAACAAGAGUUUCUCAUACCUUGUUAAAAGGCUCCUUGUUGGUACUCAUCUACUCAUACAUUUUGUAUUUUUACUCGUCAUAUUGAUUAUUUCACUUUUAUUGAUUACUCUGUUUUUCAUUUGUUAUUUGCUCAUUUAUUGUUUGUUUUGUCUUAUGUUUCCAGAUAGUCUAGCUGAGCAAGAUGAGGUUUGACUGUGGGAAAGUUUACUUUGCUCAACAUUUGCAGCAUUCAUAAGUUCAUUUCCUGUGUACGAGCAUAUGCCUCCGGUAAAAACCAGAUAGGUUUUGCCACGCAUCAUCGUCCCUGUUCAUCUCCAUGCGUGACCAUCUCACUGCUACUGUGAAAAAGGAAGUGAAGCAAACUAAUUCGGAGUUUGCAGUCAUUCCGGGAGGAUUAACAAAAGAACUCCAACCGCUGGACAUUGGUGUAAACAGGGCGUUCAAAAAGAACUUGCGAGCGGCGUGGGAAUGAUGGAUGACAAACUGCGAACACACAUUUACUAAGACGGGGAGGCAGCGCCGGGCGAGUUACACCACCAUGUGUGAAUGGAUUGUGGAUGCCUGGGCUAAUGCAUCUGCCUUAACUGUUGUCCAAGCUUUCUCAAAAGUCGGCAUCGUUGCUGAACAGCCACCUGGCAACGAGGCUGACUUCGACAAUGAUGAGAGGGAACCUGGCAUGUUUGAUGGCAAAUUGACCAGUUGUUCAAUUCAGACAUAGAAGAGGAGGACUUUGAUGGAUUUGUGGAAGAAGAAUAAAAAGUAACGUGAGUGUAUUGUUACAUAGUCGAAUAAAGUUCAACUAAACUUA